rnacentral:rRNA from 1 species
UACGUAGGGGCCAAGCGUUGUCCGGAUUUAUUGGGCGUAAAGAGCUCGUAGGCGGUUCGGCAAGUCAGCUGUGAAAUCUCCACGCUCAACGUGGUGGGGUCAGCUGAUACUGCUGUGACUUGAGUCCGGUAGGGGAGUGUGGAAUUCCCGGUGUAGCGGUGAAAUGCGCAGAUAUCAGGAGGAACACCGGUGGCGAAGGCGGAUCUCUGGGCCUUACCUGACGCUGAGGCGCGAAAGCUAGGGGAGCGAACAGG